UACGGGGGGGGCAAGCGUUGUUCGGAAUUACUGGGCGUAAAGGGCUCGUAGGCGGCCAACUAAGUCAGACGUGAAAUCCCUCGGCUUAACCGGGGAACUGCGUCUGAUACUGGAUGGCUUGAGUUUGGGAGAGGGAUGCGGAAUUCCAGGUGUAGCGGUGAAAUGCGUAGAUAUCUGGAAGAACACCGGUGGCGAAGGCGGCAUCCUGGACCAACACUGACGCUGAUGAGCGAAGGCCAGGGGAGCAAACGGG
rnacentral:rRNA from 1 species